UGCGGCAGUGACGACACACUUGCCCUCACUGAGAACACUGUUCGGUUAUGACAGUCUUGCUGUG